rnacentral:tRNA from 2 species
UGGGGGAUCGUCUAACGGCAGGACAUCAGACUCUGGAUCUGACUAUCAAGGUUCGAAUCCUUGUCCCCCAG